rnacentral:hammerhead_ribozyme from 1 species
AUCCAGCCGACAAGUUCCAAAUAGAACGAAAUGCGCUUCCUGGAU